rnacentral:rRNA from 1 species
GACGAACGCUGGCGGCGUGCUUAACACAUGCAAGUCGAACGGAAAGGCCCUGCUUUUGUGGGGUGCUCGAGUGGCGAACGGGUGAGUAACACGUGAGUAACCUGCCCUUGACUUUGGGAUAACUUCAGGAAACUGGGGCUAAUACCGGAUAGGAGCUCCUGCUGCAUGGUGGGGGUUGGAAAGUUUCGGCGGUUGGGGAUGGACUCGCGGCUUAUCAGCUUGUUGGUGGGGUAGUGGCUUACCAAGGCUUUGACGGGUAGCCGGCCUGAGAGGGUGACCGGCCACAUUGGGACUGAGAUACGGCCCAGACUCCUACGGGAGGCAGCAGGGGGGAGUAUUGCACAGUGGGCGGAAGCCUGAUGCAGCAACGCCGCGUGCGGGAUGACGGCCUUCGGGUUGUAAACCGCUUUCGCCUGUGACGAAGCGUGAGUGACGGUAAUGGGUAAAGAAGCACCGGCUAACUACGUG